GUAUUUAGCUCUUCCCCCUCCCCCUUUUUUUUAACAGAAGAAGAAACUGAAGUUAAGGGGCGUUAAGCGACUCGCUGUAGAUGACACAGCCAAGGAGAUAGAAGUGGGGGGAGGUCAAGGAUGAAGUGGCAGCUCCGGGAGGCUCAGUCCCCGCGGACCCUGGGGCCUGCGGAGCGGAGCUGUCAAGGGAGAGGCACCUGGUCCCUGCUGGCGCUGCCAGGUGGGGUCGGGGAGCGGAUGGAGAAUCGCUCCGGCAGGCAGGUUCGCUAGGCUGGUGUCGGGCGGCCAGGCUGCCCUCGGCCGGCCAGACCGCGUUUCCCUGAUCGGCCACCAGGUGGCGCCGCCCGACCGCGCGGGCCUGCUCUCCGGGGCCGGCAGGUGGCGCGUCCUCUGCUCCGCUCCCGGCCGCUCCACCUCCUCGUGCCUCAGAGGACCGGGCCUCUGGGAGCGGAUGUCUCCCGCUGUGGUCCCCCGGGAAGAGGAGCAUCAGACCACCCUCUUCCUCUGUGACGCUCUGAGAGGGGACCUCUGACUUCUGUCCUCGCCGCGGUCCCCGAGGAGGAGGCUCCUCGGACCUUCCUUCCCAGGGGUGGACACGGGGGAAGGGGCACCUCGGACCCACGUCCAGCGAGCAGCCCUCUCAAGAGGGCGCUUCGGACUCUUGUCCUCACCAUGGCCCUGCGAGAGGGGGCGCCUUGGACCGCUGUCCCCAAUCCUUCAAAUUUCAUGUCCUGCCAAGCUCCUGCCAGUGCCUGAAAUGUUACCACUUGAGCCUCUUGACAGGUGGUGUCCUGUCAAUAACUCCCCCGUUCGCUCGCCUUCACCCUGGGCGCUUCCUUCUCCGAUCCAUCGGCCUCACUCCGAAGGGCAGGGCUUUUCGGCAGAGGGUCUGGAGCUUGCAAGAAAGACCUAGUAGCUUCUACAAUAGGUCCAGCCACGCUUCCAUCAGGCACUGAUCCCCUCCUGCCACCUCAGCCUCUGCACACACGGUGAAUAAGCUCAGGUUGGAGUCACAAGGAACAAGAUCCACGCCCUGGUUUCUGCCAGGUGCUAGGACUGCCCCUGUCCAGAGAUGCCCAGACAGAAGGUGACUGACAGAAAGGGUCAAGAGCAAGGCAGUCGGAUGCCAGCCCAGAAACUUCCCCCGGAGCACCUCUCAAUGCCGUUCUGACCGGGAAGCCGCGUUGUGGCUAAGUGGUUAAGACUUUUGCCUGUGGAGACAGGCUGCCUGGCCAGCCUCGAAUCUUGGCAGGUUUCUUUACCUAUCAAGUCAACACCAAAAUAGUACCACAAAAGGGUUGUCAUGAGGAACAAACAAGAGAAUCCGUGGGAAGUGCUUUAGACCCAUGCCCAGCUUUGUAAGCUCUUAAAGAAAUCCUUGCUGAACCCAUUCCCAUGAUUAGGAGGCAAACUGGCACUUUUCAGCUUUCUCCAGCACCCCCUCGUUGCCUGUGGUUGGGGGAAGGUGGUAGAUCGCGAGGUGAGAGGCUGGGACCUGGUGUGUUCAGCAUGAGUUUGCAGGACACUCUCAGCGAGCCCCUGCUGAUGCUGGGGUGGUCCGGAUCUUGUGGAUCCAGGCAGUAUGGGCAGCUGGUGGGGCACCAGGUGACAUCCCAGCAUACACGGGAUGGGAGGCGUUCUUCCCCAGCUCCCCUCUUGGUACCCUGGGAUCCCUGGUAUUCUAUGUCCUUCUUUCCCAGCCUGCGCUUGUCACUUUCUUGGCUUCUGCAACACCACACUUGCCUGAUGCUCUCCUUCUCUCAUUGUCUUUUCUGGGCCCUCCUCACUGUCUCGUGUGCUUAGGGCUUACACCCCGGACCCUUCAUUUCUCUCCUGUCUCCACUCCCUCCCUUUGGCCUCAUCCAUUCUGGUAGAUAUAAGCACCAUCUCCAGUCCUAGCUGCACCCUAGAACUCCAGACCCACAACUGCUUCCCCAGCCCCUCAACUUGACAUGUCCAGGCUGGAGCUCUAAUCUCACCCUCUGGUCCUGCUCCGCCCCCUGCCGGGAGUGCAGCCCAGCCUUCCAGUUGUUCAGGCCAGGAGCCUGGGAUUGACUCGAGCUGUCUUGACUCGGUUUUCUUCUCUCUCCCACUCUGACCUGAGAGGCACAUGUACAGCUUUUCAGAAGCCCCCCAGUUUUGAGUGUACCUCCCAGAGAUUCUGAUGUGACUGUUUGCUGGUGGGGCCUGGCAUUUGUUUAUUUUAAAAGCUCCCAGGUGACUCAGGUUGCUUAUUCAUUCAUUCACUCAUUCACAAGCCUUUGUUCUGUGACCACUGUGUGCCAGGCACUAGAAGUCUAGCCCUUAAGCUGAGCACUUCUGAAGUAUAAGCACAUAGUGGGUACUCGUGUUUUGCUGGGUGAAGGUGCAUCCGAUGGAGGUGGUGACCCUGACCCCUCUCCCCCUAACAGAGAACCAAUAAGAUGGCUGGGUGACAGAGGGGCUGUGCAAGUCCUCAGACUCCCCCACCCACCAUAGUCCCUGUGUCCUCCCCCCACCCAGCUCCCUGGAAGCCAGGCGCACACCGCCAUGGCUGGCAGGGGGCUGUUCAGGGUCUGGCGGCCUGGGAAGCUCGGUUGUUGCCAUGGUGAUGAUGUGCGUCUGUUCAGCAGAGAACUUUGAAGUUGACUUGGAUGUGGGACAACAAAGGCGCCUCCAUCUUGGAUGCAAAUUGUGGCUUCCUUUCAUCCUCCUGGGCCCUUUCCUGCUCUGCUUUUGUUCUUGCCAUUUAGAUCAGAGAAUAAAACCCUUUCAAAUGUUGUAAAUUCAAAACAUAGGCAAUUAAGGGGCCUCUCAGAGGUUCAAGCCCCCCUUAGUCUCUUUAAGAAGCAGUUGCAUGUGUAGAAAAACAGAUGAUUGUGAAAAGGGAGUCAGCAUCUCCUGGAUGUUACAAUCCAACCAACAUCUACUGAGCGCCUACUGUGUGCCAGGCCCCGGGGGACUGGGGAUCUGGUGUGGUACAGGACCCACCAAAUCUCUGUUCCUCAGAGCUUACUUUCAGGACCAUGGCUCUGUGCCUCAGUUUCCCCAGUGUACAAGGAGGCUGAAGUAGCCCAGGGGUUUUCAUAUGGUGUUUUCUGAAACCCAGGCGAAGGUCCCAGUCGCUUCCCCCCAUUUUGGCCUGAAGAGCUUUGCUUUGCUCUGGUUUUAUGUACUCUGUUCCCUAUAAUAUUGUGUUUGAAGAAAGAAGUCCAAAACUGAAAAAAAAACCCAAAAAACAAAGGGUGGGAUGGAAAUGAAAACCACUGGUCAAGGAUUCCCUAAGGCUUUUUCUAGAAGGAAUGUUCUGUGAUGCUCACCACUAAGGAGACUGCAGAUUCCCCGGGCUGUUCGGCCACAUAGAGACUCACACACAGAAGGCAAGCUGCCUUUAGGAUGUACACCCACCUGGAUGGCUGACAUCCUGCCUUCAUUUUAAAUAAAGUAAGAAGCCUCAGACAGGGUUGGAAAGAGCAAAUCCUGUUACGUUUCUCACCCAGUAGACCCAGGGCUUCACUUCUAAGGCAUCUGUCCUUCUCAGACUCUGGACCCGCCCUCGCCCCUUCCUCAGGGAGCUUUGCCUGGCCGGCAGCCUGCAGGGCCCACGCCCUCCUCCGAGCUCCCCUGGCCCACCCUGGCCUCCACACAUCCACCAGGGAGGACCUGGGGCCUGUCUUGUCUCCCCAGCGGGACCACGUGUUCUCACAGCGCGAUGUGUCCUGAAGAAAUGUAAUUUGAUGAGCAACUGGGCGCCCCGCUGGUACUGCUUGUUCUCUGGGCCCUGCCCCUCACCCUGUACCUUGCCUCGGUUGUCUCCUGAAGUGCAGGAGAGCCUGGUGGGCAGUGCGCAGAGCCACCUGCCUUCCCUCCCUCGGCAGCACCCUCCCCUCCUCCUUCCCAACAGGUGACUGAGAGACACCAGGCCUGAUUACAGCGGUGACAUGAGUCUUUCCCAAAAGCCAUUUAUACUGUCUGGGUGGGGAACCGGGAAGUAGGUCGGGGACCAUGUUUUAUUGACUAUCUCUUGUCUUGAGGAGCCACAGGAAAGCUUUAUUAACACAACCAGACAAUCUCAUUUAGGGCCAUUGCACGGCCUGGGCCCACUCGAGGUUCAAGCCGGUAUUUUACCCCGGGCUGAGUCUUCUCGUAUUGAUUUCUUUAGAAGGCACGUUACCUUUCUCCCUGAAGGCCAAGCUGAUGCAAAGAGCAAAGAGAGAUUCUGGACUGGAGAACCACUUCUAGCAAAACACCCUGAGCUUGGCGAAGUCGCCCCCCCUGUGUGGGGCUGUUGAAAUUGUGCUCUGUGCUUGAUCAUCGUGGGAUCCAUCCAGAGAUCAGAGGCUCCCAGGGGGCUGAGGCCGUGUCUCCCACUUCGCUCUGCACGGUUCCAGGCGCACAGUGGGCCUGCAGUAGAGACAGGAGUAGGGACUGUCUGCUGCCGGGCAUGUAGGACAGCAGCCUCUUGGCGUCAACAGCUUUGGGGAACCCCUUCCUUCUGGUGAUGUGGAGGUUAGCGUCUCCAGCAUCCCAGGGCUGCCACCCAGCCCCUCCCUCACCCUCUGGGGAACGUGAGCUGUGGGGAGCAGAGGGGAUGGAGCAUGUCAAGAUCUGCCACAGGCUGGUGGGUGGGGCACACAGUUUACAACCCACCUUCUCAUCCGGCUGCCACAGCCCAGGGAUAAGCCCCGGAAGUGGGAACUGCUGCUGACACAUUUGGAGGAAAUGGCAUCUUUGCUUGUGAAUCUCAAUACAAGUGGUUUUCAUCCAGGGACACUUGGCCCCUGAGAAAUCCUCCAGCCACCAGCGAGAGGGAAGGUUUCCGUGGAGCACACACCCACACGGCCUUUUCACACAGCGUUUCCCUGAGGCUUUCGUAACUCCCCCACUCUAGAGAGGAGUGGUCCUCAUUCUCCAGAAGAGGGAGGAAGCCCUGCAGAAGGUGAUGACUGCCCACAGAUGGGUUUCCAGAAGGCGGACGGCCCGGGCGGGGCCCUAAGCAAGGCAGAUGGCGCCUGCCCACCUGGGUGGUGGACAUCAGUCUCCCUGGCCUUCAGGGUGGCCCUCUGCCCGAGGAUCCUGUGGCAUGGCUUCCCUUGGCAGUGACUCCACGUCACUCAGGCCUGAGGCCUAACAGUUCCCCCUUCCCACUCCCCAUUCCAGUCCUCCUCGAGCCUGGGACUUUGUUCUGAGCCCUCUUCCUCCCUCCUUGCCUCCGACAAGCCCACACUGCCACAUGCGCCCCGACAGCAGCAUUAACUUCCCAUCCCCCACUUGGGGCCUCCCACUCGCCCCAGAAUACCGUGGAGCCAUGUGGACUUGGAUAUGGGAUUUCACCCCAUACCUGUGGUAUAUUGAUGAGCGCCCCGCCCCCACUGCACCUACCUCCCUGAGGGCAGGACAACUGGUUUGCUCAGCACUAUGUCCUCAGAGCCUAGCACAAGGCUAGGCACAUAGUGGGUGCUCAAUAAAAAUGAAUGAAUGAACAUCAGACAACACAAGAGGGGCCUUAAAUAUGUGGCCAGACUUCAGGCCACAGGAAGGCCUCCCAGAGGAGGCCACACCCCUGGUGUUGGGCUGGAAGGCUGAGCCAGGGUCUGGACCUGGGAGGACCCACUGCUCACCAAAGGAAGGACAUAGGAAGGACCCAGGGAUGUGAGACGGGAAGAGUCAGAACAGCCCUUGCCGGGUACCAGACUCUCUGCUAAGUUCCUUACAGCCUUUAUUCAUCGCAAACCAUCCACAGAAGGUGCUAUUACUAUCCCCAUUUUACUGAGAAUCUUCUAGAGAAAGAUUGGCAGCUGCUUAAUUGAAGCAGAGUUCAAUGGACAGAAAACAAAAACACAGAUUUCUCCCUGAGGAAAACAACAAGACUUUGGAUUUUUGAAAGGAACUGAAGUUAUUUCCUAGGGAGUCGAGGUUUUUGGGGCCAGGAGCCAAGUCUGGGGGGCCCAGUGCCGGCGGGGUGUGGGGCUGGAGGGAGGCGAACUGGGGAUGAUACCCAUCCAUGGUUUCUACUUACUUUGUGUCCUUCCAGAACCUUCAAGGCUAUGCUGACCAAGGCGCUGAGACCAUGGACAGCUGGCUAGGACACGCCCACGGUGGG
rnacentral:lncRNA from 1 species